rnacentral:rRNA from 1 species
UACAGAGGGGGCAAGCGUUGUUCGGAAUCACUGGGCGUAAAGGGCGCGUAGGUGGUGGCUUAAGCGUGCGGUGAAAGCUCGGAGCUCAACUCCGAGUCGGCCGUGCGAACUGGGCUCACUGGAGCAUAGUAGAGGCAGGUGGAAUUCCGGGUGUAGCGGUGGAAUGCGUAGAGAUCCGGAAGAACACCGGUGGCGAAGGCGGCCUGCUGGGCUAUGGCUGACACUGAGGCGCGACAGCGUGGGGAGCAAACAGG